CAGGCGGCAUCUGGGGCUUCUGGGGCCGGCCUGCGACCUAGGAUCGGAUCUAUCAUGGGUGGAAGCCAGGCAUCUUCUGGGGCCCGCCUGCGGCCUGGGAUGGAUCCGAUCACAGGCGGCAGGCAGGCGGCUUCUGGGGUCGCACAUGGGGGCCUGGAUGGCGGCUCACAUUCAUGCUGUCCUGCCCUGUCGGCAGUAUGCAAAUUAGCUGCCAUCUUUGUUGGUGGUUAAUUUGCAUAUUGCACUGAUUAGCCAAUGGGAGGUGUAGUGAAGGUAUGGUCAAUUACCAUGUUUGUCUAUUAUUAGAUAGGAUAGAAUAAAUUUGCUUAAUUAGACCUGCUUUCUGAUGUAGCUAAAGUUUUUCCAGCACCAACUUCUCUUUCAGAUAAUUGUCAGCAACACAGCAGUAAUAUCAACACGAAGCAGAUUAUUAUUGUAGAUCACGCAGGGAGAACAAAGGGUAAAAUAUUUAACUGCAGUAGUGUUUGACUAUAUUCUGCGCAGUGAGAAAACCUGAAGUCAUUUUCAAGGUCCACCAUUUCUUCUUUUCAGUCAGGUCAAAUUUCUAAGCUUUCUAAAUCUCCGUUUUCCGGCUAAUGAAAAGAAAAGAGGAUUCUACCAAGUCUCUUAUCUACAUACUCCAGGACUUCUGUGAGGAUCAAAUGAGAUGAGGCACAGGAAAACGCUUCACAGACAUUUUGUUAAAGUGUAAAAUCUUUGCACAUGGCUAUAAAGCAAGUCAUGUUCUUGGGCUGAAGAAACUGCAAGGAGGCUAGUCGUCGCUAGGGAGAGGAAGCCGGGCGUUGCUAUGUGAUGUCAUCACCUGGUGCCCACAGCGACUGUUUUUGGCCUGGGCUGGGCUGUGGACUGCAUUUGGCAUCAUGGGGUCUCGGCAAUGUCAGCCGCAAUUUGGUGGGCCAUCACUCCAGGGUGGUGGAUGGGCCUAUGUCCCACUUGGGGGAAGCUGAGUGUCACUUUUGGCUGCACAAUUUUACAUUCCCACCAGCAAUAUAUUAAGAUUUCCCAUACCUCCUUGCCAGGCAACAUUGUUACUGUCUGUCUUUUUUAUUUUAGCCAUCUUGGUUGAUAUGAAGUGUUAUUUCAUUGAGACAUUGUUAUAUUUCUCAGGUAUUUUUUUCCAGACUUUAUUCUACACACAUACACAUACACAAACAGAUGUAUUCUUCAAAAAAAAUUGAUCUAUUUAAUUACUAAGCACAAUAGUAGAAGGAAGACUAUUUCUAGCAUUGAUUUAGUUUUUACUAUAUGCCAAGUUCUCCAUGCCAGUGAAAUACUUUCUUGGCUUUAUUUCAAUUAGUCCUUAAAACAACCCUGUAUACUCAGGUGCUAUUAUCUGCAUUUUGCAAAUGAGGAAACUAAGGUUUACAGCUUGUGUUUGGCAGAGUUGGAAUAUGAACACCUUUUGGCUAACUGCAACCAUUCUAACCUGCACCCUUAGUCACAGCACUGUUUACAAGUAACAAAUUACAAAAUGGGAAAGAAGGGUCUCCAUAGACAGAAAAGAGAAAGAGCAGAUGAUCCAAGAUGGUAGUGGAGUAGAUACCCGUUUCACUCAGCUCCUCUCAGGACCAAACUGGAAUUACAGCUAAAAUACAGAGCAGGCUACUUGAAUAACCAACUGAAGACUAGCUGAAAAGUCUUAUGACCAAGGAUUUACAGAAGAGACCACAUCGAGACUGGUGGGAAGGGCAGAGACGCAUAAAGGGCUGGUCCCACUCUCAAGGAGGUUGACAUUGUGGAGAGAGAUCUCAGCUGCCUUAAAGGUUCCCCCUGAGAAGCGUGGGGUCUCAAGGCCAAGCCAGGAAGACACACCCACAUAACACUGAAAAUCAGCAGGGAUUCUGUCCUCAGGAAGAGACUGGAGUCUGUUGGAGACACAUGCUCCCUCUUAAAGGUCCAAAGCAUAAAAUCUUGUUUGCAGCCACUCACCCUGGGCUCUGAAGAAAGAGGGUGGAUCAGAGUAGAGUCCCCUGAAGAGAGGCUGGGAUUAUGGCCUGGGGAGCAAGCUGAGGGACAGCUGCCAGGAUACCUGUGCUGAGUCACUCUCCCACACCAGAUGCCGUCUUUCUUGGGUGGAGCACUCCCUUCCUUGCAGCAUCAGCCAGGGGAAUGCAAUAAAUAGCCUCACACUCCGGAUUCCCUGUAGCACAGCCCUGCAGAGCUUGUGUUCUGCUGAGGAGUCGGUUGCCUGGGCCAAGCUGUAGAGACCUGGGCAGCCUUAGGGGUGUCUCUGAAGAGUUGUGUGGCUUUGGGGCAGGGUCCAUUCACCCACUUACCCAUGAACCUGACUGGUGCUCCCCCGGCCCCCAUAGGAGAUCCACUUGCCCCAUUCAACAUUGUACUGGAAGUCUUAGCCACAGCAGUCAGACAUGAAGAAGAAAUAAAAGGCAUUUAAAUUGGAAAGGAAGGAGUAAAACUCAUAAUUUGCAGAUAAUAUGAUACUGUAUAUAGAGAACCCUAAGAUUCCACCAAAAAACUACAAGAACUGAUAAUUGAAUUCAGCAAAAUACAGUAAACCCUCGAUUUUUCAGAACUCGAUUUAACAACUUCAGAUUUAACAGACAAAAUUUCCGGUCCGUAUGUCAUGUGUUAAUUAACACCCUGUUAAUUUUAAAAUACUUCUAACCAAGAUUUGCUUAUAAUUAAGUUAUCAGGUUAUUUUUUUGUUAUUAAUUCGCUUAUUUUUAACAAAUUUUAGUAUAUGUUUGAAAAAACACUACAGUAAGGCCAUGUGUUGGGGGAAAACACUAUAGUAAUUUUGCCAACAUAAAUAUUACAUAUUACAAUUAUAGUCUACAGAUUUAAAUUCAAGAGUAACCUUUCCUAAACAAUGUUCCAUGAAUGAUUAGCAUGUGAUCACAGGACAUCUCGAGGUAAUUGGUUCUGUUGUCAUGUGGCAUGACUUUCUGCAGCAGUUUUAACGCAUGUGCUAAGACACGCCCCAGGGAUAUGCAUUUGUUUGCUUGAGGUGACUGGUAAAUGCAUGCAUUUAUUAGACCUAUUCAGUAUAAAUUUUAAAUUACUAUAAUACAUAUAGAAAACUUUUCUGUGAAAUUAAACUUUUCAUACAUACUUAAUCUUAAUUACACAAAUAAAACAGGUAAACUCAUUUGUCAGUUUUUUAACAUGCAUUUGGGAAACCUUUAUUAUAUAAUAGAUGUUCAGCUUUAAUGGACAGCCCCUCACCCGAAUUAGUCCAUUAUAUCAAAGUUUUACUGUAGCAGGAUAUAAAAUAAAUGUCCAGGAAUCAGUUGCGUUUUUUACACCAAUAAUGAACUAUCAGAAAGGGAAACUAAGAAAAUAAUCCCAUUUACAGUUGCAUCAAACAAAAAGAAAAUACUUAAGAGUAAAUUUAACUAAGGAUGUAAAAGACCCUGUACUCGGAAAAUUAUAAGACAUUGAAGAAAGAAAUCGAUGCUGCAAAUAAGUGGAAGCAUAUACCGUGCUUAGGGAUAGGAAGAAUUAAAAUCAUUAAAAUGUCCAUACUAUCCAAAGCAAUCUAUAGAUUCAACGCAAUUCCUAUCAAGAUACCAAUGGUGUAUGUCACAGAACUAGAGCAAACAUUCCAAAAAUUUAUAUGGAAUCAUAAAAGACCCAGAAUAGCCACAGAAAUCUUGAGAAAAAAGAAUGAAGUUGGAGGAAUCAUGCUAACUGAUAUCAAACUAUACUACAAAGCUAUGGUAAUCAAAAAGCAUGGUAUUGACAUAAAAACAGACACACAGAUUAAUGGAACAGAAUAGAGAGCCCAGAAAUAAACCUACACCUUUAUGGUCAAUUACUAUGUGACAAAGGAGGCAAAAACAUACAGUUGGGGUAAAGAUAGUCAAUUGAAUAAAUGGUGUUGGGAAAAUUGGAUAGAUGCCA